rnacentral:rRNA from 1 species
ACACGACUACAUUAGAUACCCCGGUAGUCCUAGCCGUAAACGAUACUCGCUAGGUGUCGGCCACGGUGCGACCGUUGUCGGUGCCGUAGGGAAGCCGUGAAGCGAGCCACCUGGGAAGUACGGCCGCAAGGCUGAAACUUAAAGGAAUUGGCGGGGGAGCACAACAACGGGUGGAGCUUGCGGUUUAACUGGAUUCAACGCCGGAAAUCUUACCGGGACCGACAGCAACAUGAAGGCCAAGCUGAAGACUUUGCCGGAUUAGCUG